AUGAUUCUUUUGGUGAAGCGUCCGGGUCUGGCCACGAGUGUGGUGAUCGCAGCUGAGGAUCUUGGACUAAUAUUUGUGGCUGUGGUGGAAUGUUUAGCGGUUGCUGUGGCGGAGAGUGUGACGAUGAAGGUGAAACAGGCGGAGAAAGAUUUAAAUUGGGCAGUGUUGGUUUCAAGGCUGAAUGCAGGGGUUGGUUUAUGGAAAAGGGAGGUGCGAAUAGUGCAGACAAGUUUUGGCAUAAUCAUUGUUUGA